GGAGUUGUAGUUCAGCGGUAGAUCGCUUGCCUAGCAUGUGUGAAGCACUGAGUUUGAUCCUCAGCACCUCUG
rnacentral:tRNA from 1 species